rnacentral:rRNA from 1 species
AGCCAACCUCUAGCCCCACAACACCCCUCCCCCGCACCAACUAAAAAUACACUUUUCCCCCCACUAAACUAAAACAUUCUCUCCAACCCAGUAUAGGUGAUAGAAAAGGAACUUCCAGGGCGCAAUAGAGACCAUGUACCGUAAGGGAAAGAUGAAAUAAUAGUGAAACCUCCAAGCAAUAAAUAGCAAAGAUAAACCCUUGUACCUUUUGCAUCAUGAUUUAGCAAGAACAAUCAAGCAAAAUGAAUUUAAGCUUGCCCUCCCGAAACCUAAGCGAGCUACUUACAGGCAGCUAUACACCGAGCGAACCCGUCUCUGUUGCAAAAGAGUGGGAUGACUUGUUAGUAGAGGUGAAAAGCCUAUCGAGCUAGGUGAUAGCUGGUUGCCUGUGAAAUGAAUCUAAGUUCCCCCUUGGCCCUUUCCCCCAACCGACACACACAACUCAGUAUGAGAAGGCUAAGAGUGCUUUAAAGGGGGUACAGCCCCUUUAAAAUAGGACACAACCUCCCCUAGAGGAUAAUAGCCCAAUAUCACGAACAGUGGGCCUUCAAGCAGCCACCAACAAAGAAUGCGUCAAAGCUCAACACUCAAAAUCCAGCAAACAACACGACUCCCUUACCCCCAACAGGCUAAUCUAUAAAUAUAGAGGAAUUAAUGCUAAAAUGAGUAACCUGGGCCCUCCCCUCUCAAGCGCAAACUUACAUUGCCACAUUAUUAACAGACCAGCCCUUAUACACUAAACUAACAAGAAAAACAUAUAUCAACUCACUCUGUUAACCCAACCCAGGAGCGCCUUCUAGAAAGAUUUAAAUCUGUAAAAGGAACUAGGCAAACCAAAGACCCGACUGUUUACCAAAAACAUAGCCUUCAGCAUAUCAAGUAUUGAAGGUGAUGCCUGCCCAGUGACACCAUGUUCAACGGCCGCGGUAUCCUAACCGUGCGAAGGUAGCGCAAUCAAUUGUCUCAUAAAUCGGGACCUGUAUGAAUGGCUAAACGAGGCCUUAACUGUCUCUUACAGAUAAUCAGUGAAAUUGAUCCCCCCGUGCAAAAGCAGGGAUACACCCAUAAGACGAGAAGACCCUGUGGAACUUAAAAAUCACCGGUCACCCCGCACAAACACCUCCUCCUAAAGGACCCCCAGCAUAUAACACAUUGACCGCCACUUUUCGGUUGGGGCGACCUUGGAGAAAAACAAACCCUCCAAAACAAAGACCACACCUCUUAACCAAGAGCAACAUCUCAACGUGCUAACAGCAACCAGAUCCAAUACCAAUUGAACAAUGGACCAAGCUACCCCAGGGAUAACAGCGCAAUCCCCUCCAAGAGCUCCUAUCGACGAGGGAGUUUACGACCUCGAUGUUGGAUCAGGACAUCCUAAUGGUGCAGCCGCUAUUAAGGGUUCGUUUGUUCAACGAUUAAUAGUCCUACGUGAUCUGAGUUCAGACCGGAGCAAUCCAGGUCGGUUUCUAUCUAUGACGGACUCUCCCUAGUACGAAAGGACCGGAAGAGUGAGGCCAAUACCAUACAGUAUGCCCCCAAAAAAAUAAUGAACACAACUUAAUUAUCAACACCCCCAUCCGCCCUAGACAAGGGCAG